AAUGUUAAUAUUGUCAUCUGCCGACAAGUUGAAAGAUAUGGAAGAUAAGUGUAACUCCGGGGAAUCGCACGGUGCAAAAACCAAAGAACCGGACUUUCUUUUAACAAGCAACACUUACAAAUCUAUUAAAGAAGACAGUUAUUAAACAAGGAAGAAAAAGAAGCUAUAGGCGAAGCGUAUAUACGCACCGAAAGAAUAAAAAAAUGAUGAUGCUGUGACAGAUGAAUAUCUAGAAAGUAGAGCGUCUUUUGUAGGAUCAAGUCUUUCUGCAACAAUUAGAGUAUCUAAGCCUCCAAAAAUUAUCGGUAUUUUUCCUUCGAAUUUAUUUCCAUUUUAAACUAUUCAUUAACUUUUGUAAAUCAAAUAUACCUACGUUACAUAUUAGAUGUUGCCGACGGUUUGACAAACUUGGUUCUUCAAAAACGACUAGUCUACCCUAUGCAGGAUUUAUAUGUCAUUCUAUAAUCCUUCUGGAAACACCGUCCGUAAGUCUAUUGAAAAUGUUUAAGAUCAACCGCUUGUACGGCAAUGGCGUAAUAUAUAUUCGCAAUUGAAUUAUUUCAGGAUUUACGAAGAGAUACGACAAGACUUGCCACAGCCAAAGGUGCAUCAAUCGCUUGUGUAGAUGCCUCUCACAAGAGAAAGAAUGGUCAUUUUGGUCAAUCAAGGACCAAUGGGCCAGAUUUUCUUUCACCAAACACUCUCCUAUGUAUUAAAGAAAACAGUUCUUGAUCGAAAAGAAAAAGAGUUUAUACGCGAAGCGCGUGGCGUACCAGAAGUGUAAAGAAAUUGUGAGGCUGCGACAGAUGAAUGUCCAGAAAGUUGAUCGUCUUUUGUAGGACCAAGUCUUUCUGUAACAAUUGGAGCACUUAAGCUUGCAAAAAUUAUCGGUGUUGCCGGAGGUUUGACAAACUUGCUUUUUCAAAAGUGACGAACACAAUCAACCACUUGUAUGGCAAUGGUGUAAUGUAUAUUCGCAAUUGAAUUAUUUCAGGAUUUACAAAGAGAAACGGCAAGACUUGCCAAAGAUGCAUCAACUCCUGUAGUGAUAUCGAUGCUUCUCAGAAAGAUUCUCCAUUUUUUUUUAUUCCUCUGGCACAUCACGCGUUUCGCAUAUAGCUUCUUUUCUUCUACGCAUAAUAACUCCGCUAGUGAGCAUAUAUAAUGACAAAAUGAAAUAGAUGAUAACCUUGAAUUGUAUACACGAGGAAUAGUCCCGCGUAGACACAGUAAUAACCGUAAGAGUAGAGUAGUCGGUGGAAAAGCAACGAUGUCAGAUACGCAUAAUUGUAAUUUAAAAAAAUGGGUGAAACCUAAUUGUCAUUCCAUUUUAUAUGUUCCUACCUUAUUUAGGUCGAGUUAAUUCGGGAAAAAUGUUUCUUCGUAUUCCUAUAUUGGCUGAUGACAUUAUUCCGGGUCCAUAACUUUAGUAAUGUCCAACAAUCAAUUUGGUAAUCAAACGCCGCGCGUUUGAAAGUUGAGUUUUUGUGGAAUAUUUUUCGAGAGGUUUUUUCGAAUUCGUGUAUUUGUUUAAAAGUUAUCACGCCUUAUAAGUGAGAUAGAACAAAGAAGAUGUAUUUUGAAAUUUUAUUACGAGGAAAAGAAUAAUGCCACUCCAACUCUUGAAAAAAUUUAGAAUCGAUGCGUUAUAAAUGGACAUCGCACAUGGUUAUAUCAAACGUUUCCAAUAUGGAAGAUAUGAUGUAGUGGUGGAAGACAUAGACUAGGAACCAACCAUCGGUCACAAAACAGUUCUACAUCAUUUGAAGAAUGCUGGAUGUAAAAAGAUAUCCAAUGUUCAUGUUCCAUAUGAUCAAAUAGUGAAGCGUUUAAUGGAUUUCUGUCUGCGAAUCGUUAUUAGGACCUAACGAAACCGAUGCACUCUUGAAACGGGCCAUUAUGUGCGAUAAUCUAUGAAAAGGAUCAUGAUCCAUGGAAGGAGAAUCAACCGUUGUCGCGCCGUUCAAACUAUUGAUCAUAAUCUCUUCUCUAAACAAUCGGAAAAUGAUUUGCUUUUGCAUUGAAAUACGAAGAAACCUUUUCCUCUAACUUAAUAUCUUGAUUAGUAAUGUCAUUGGUUGAUAUCAUUCCUUUAUGGAAAUUAACUCGAAUUAUUUCAGUAAUAUAGUCAAAGGUAUUUAUCUUGCUUAACAAUGUGAAUGAAUGACAUUACUGAUAGGAUCAUUAUAUUACAUAUAGAUUAUACACGUAUA